GUACACGCUGUGACUAGCAUAUCAAUAAGCGGAGGAAAAGAAACUAACAAGGAUUCCCCUAGUAACGGCGAGUGAAGCGGGAAGAGCUCAAAUUUGAAAUCUUAAAGGGUUUCCCUUUACGAAUUGUAGUUUAAAGAAGUGUUUUCUGUUGAGGUUUUGGUAAAAGUUCUUUGGAAUAGGACAUCAUAGAGGGUGAGAAUCCCGUAUUUGACCUUUACUUUCAACUUUGUGAUACACUUUCAAAGAGUCGGAUUGUUUGGGAAUGCAGUCCAAAAUGGGUGGUAAAUUUCAUCUAAAGCUAAAUAUUGGCGAGAGACCGAUAGCGAACAAGUACCGUGAGGGAAAGAUGAAAAGAACUUUGAAAAGAGAGUUAAACAGUACGUGAAAUUGUCAAAAGGGAAGCGUUUGACACCAGUGUUGUUUUUCUGAAAAUCAAUUAAAGAACUGUUUAUGCUAAGUUGUUUAGACUUUAUCAGCUAACUGUUUAGUUUUGAGCUUUUCUUUAAUGCACUUUUCAGUUAACAAGUCAACAUCAAUUUCUUUUGCUGUAAAAAAGCUUGAGGAAGGUGGCUUGAGAUUCGUCUUAAGUGUUUAUAGCCUCUUGCCUAUGCAGUCGGAGAGAUUGAGGUCUGCAGCGUAGAUCCUUCGGGGCUAAAUGCAUUUGUGCUAAGUUAUAGCAUUUUAUAGACAACUUGUUGACUAUGAUUUGUCUUUAGCUUACUCGCUUAUGUUAUUUUACCUACGCUUAGGAUGUUGAAGAUGUAGCACAUCAU
rnacentral:rRNA from 1 species